rnacentral:misc_RNA from 1 species
GAUGAAGAACGCAGCGAAAUGCGAUAACUAAUGUGAAUUGCAGAAUUCCGUGAAUCAUCGAGUCUUUGAACGCACAUUGCGCCCCCCGGUAUUCCGGGGGGCAUGCCUGUCCGAGCGUCAUUGCUGCCCAUCAAGCACGGCUUGUGUGUUGGGUCCUCGUCCCCCCCGGGGGACGUGCCCGAAAGGCAGCGGCGGCACCGCGUCCGGUCCUCGAGCGUAUGGGGCUUUGUCACCCGCUCUGCAGGCCCGGCCGGCGCUGGUCGACGCGAAAGCAACCAUUUUUUCUCCAGGUUGACCUCGGAUCAGGUAGGGAUACCCGCUGAACUUAAGCAUAUCAAUAAGCGGAGGA